GAGCUGCCAUCACAAGACUGGGACGUUGGCUCCUCCAGCAGCUCUGUGCGCGCGCGGAGAAUAGCGGAAGGAGACGUGAGGAGAAUCCUCGGGCCGAAAUACAAUAGGAUUCAAGGAAAGUCUGAAGGGCGGACCUGCCCUGAAUAUGAAACGACCAAAAUCAGGGUCAUCUGAUGCAUGGUGUGCACAUCUAACACAAGCUUCGUAUUCUGUAUACUCCUGCCUUUCAAUAAGUGGCCAUUGAUAAACUGAUUCAGCUUUCUCUUAUAAUAAGCUAUUUGAGAUUUCUCUGGAUUCGUGAGAGAAAGAAAAAAGAUAAAAUGUCCAGACUCUUCUUUGCUGCUGCCACAGAGAUGGACUGUUUUACUUAUAUGAUGUGCCUAUGAUUUUUAAUUUAGGCUCCCCUAAUUUUCUUUGUUGAGCAAACCCAACUGGACAGGAAGAAGUCACUUCUGUUUCCUAAGAGAUCAUCCUAGAUAGAAUUACUACAAAU